rnacentral:rRNA from 1 species
CCUACGGGCGGCUGCAGUGGGGAAUAUUGCACAAUGGGCGCAAGCCUGAUGCAGCCAUGCCGCGUGUGUGAAGAAGGCCUUCGGGUUGUAAAGCACUUUCAGCGGGGAGGAAGGCGAUGAGGUUAAUACCCUCCUCGAUUGACGUUACCCGCAGAAGAAGCACCGGCUAACUCCGUGCCAGCAGCCGCGGUAAUACGGAGGGUGCAAGCGUUAAUCGGAAUUACUGGGCGUAAAGCGCACGCAGGCGGUCUGUCAAGUCGGAUGUGAAAUCCCCGGGCUCAACCUGGGAACUGCAUUCGAAACUGGCAGGCUAGAGUCUUGUAGAGGGGGGUAGAAUUCCAGGUGUAGCGGUGAAAUGCGUAGAGAUCUGGAGGAAUACCGGUGGCGAAGGCGGCCCCCUGGACAAAGACUGACGCUCAGGUGCGAAAGCGUGGGGAGCAAACAGGAUUAGAUACCCCAGUAGUC